UUAACGGAUUUGGCGGCAAGAUAGCCAUUUAGAGGAACCUGCCCUGUAAACGAUGAACCACGAAGUACUUUACUUUUAUUUGUUAUCAGUUUGUAUACCGCUGUUGUCAGUCAGUUUUUCUAGAAAUCUUUCUACUAUGAUAAAAUCAAAUACUUCAAGUAAAGGUGCAGCUUAUGUAAAAGAUAGAGGUGGGUUACAUUUAUGAAGAUUAAAACGAAUAAAGAUUUUUUGAAAAAUACUUUUGAAGGUGGAUUUAAAUGUAAAGUUUAAAAAAACU
rnacentral:rRNA from 1 species